GGUGGCUCAGUGGUAGAGUGCUUGCUUCACAUGCAAGAGGCCCUGGGUUCGAUUCCUCAGCACCA
rnacentral:tRNA from 1 species